rnacentral:lncRNA from 1 species
CAAUCUCAGUCCCACUGUUGGUUGGAGCAUUUCGCCCGGAGCCUCCGAGCGAACUGGUUGCCGGCUGCGGCUGGGAGCUUGGUUGCGCAAUUCCUUGCCGCCACUGCGGCCGCGGCCAAAGCCACCUGGGCAAGGAGAGAAUUUGCCGCGAGGUUCCCGCCUCGGAAAGAGGCAUCCCUCACUGCUGGCCAAGUGCCAGAGAAGCGGUGCACGCACCUCUCAGCUAAUACCUGACCAUGGGCAACUCCUGCUUCGGCCUCAAGGAACGGCUGAUGAAGCGGCUGCGGCCUCUGCCGACCGUGAUCGUCAUCCGCACCUGCCUGCCCCAGAGAAGGAGCAGAGAUUUCCGCGUGGUGGUGCUCGGCUCGGCCGGCGUGGGCAAGAGCGCUCUGGUGCAAAGGAAGCAAACCCUGGAGGAGCUGAAGCCGCUCUAUGAGCUGAUCCGUCAACUCAAAGGUAACAACCCGCAAAAGUGCCCCGUCAUCCUGGUGGGCAACAAGUGCGAUGAGAGCCGUCGGGAGGUGAGUGAGAAGGAAGGUGCUGCCUAUGCGUGCGAGUGGAAUUGCGCCUUCUUGGAGACCUCGGCCAAGAUGAAUAUCAACGUCCAGGAGCUGUUCCAGUUGCUGAUAAAUUUCGAGAAGAAGCCCGCCGCCGCCGCAGCCCCCGCCGGCGCCCAGCCUCCGCAGAAGAAAUCCCAGAUCCCCAAGACCGCCGAGAAGCUGCUGGGCAAGUGCAUCGUCAUGUGAAUCCUGAGCCUUAAAGAUCGCGACCCUCUUCUCCUUUAGUGUGCCGAAAACGUGGACCGACCCCAUUAUGCUGUGUCACCUGUACAUGACUGACUUUUGUGCUGUGGUUUGGGUUGUAACAAUUAGAUGUCAAUAAAUGUCCCUUGUGAGUUAAUAACUUUCCUUUU